AGAGACUCAGGAUAGUGUAGACCAAGAGACUUCAAAUCUCUUAGCGGGAGUUAAAACCUCUCAGUCCCUG
rnacentral:tRNA from 2 species